rnacentral:rRNA from 1 species
AGAGUUUGAUCAUGGCUCAGGAUAAACGCUGGCGGCGUGCAUUAGACAUGCAAGUCGAACGAAUGACCUCGAGCUUGCUCGGGGAAGUGAGUGGCGAACGGCUGAGUAACGCGUGGGUGACCUGCCCAGAAGUGGGGAAUAACUGCCCGAAAGGGUGGCUAAUACCGCAUGUGGUCAUAGGUUCGUUCCUAUGAUCAAAGCCUUCGGGCGCUUCUGGAGGGGCCUGCGUUCGAUUAGCUCGUUGGUGAGGUAACGGCUCACCAAGGCGACGAUCGAUAGGUGGUCUGAGAGGAUGAUCACCCAGACUGGGACUGAGACACGGCCCAGACUCCUACGGGAGGCAGCAGUCGGGAAUUUUGCUCAAUGGGGGAAACCCUGAAGCAGCAACGCCGCGUGAGGGAUGAAGGCCUUCGGGUUGUAAACCUCUUUUCUCAGGGACGAUAAUGACGGUACCUGAGGAAUAAGCCACGGCUAACUACGUGCCAGCAGCCGCGGUAAUACGUAGGUGGCAAGCGUUGUCCGGAUUUACUGGGCGUAAAGAGCGCGCAGGCGGCCAAGUCAGUCGAAUGUGAAAGCCCCCGGCUCAACUGGGGAACGUCAUCCGAUACUGCUUGGCUUGAAGAUGGGAGAGGGAAGCGGAAUUUCAGGUGUAGUGGUGAAAUGCGUAGAUAUCUGAAGGAACACCAGUGGCGAAGGCGGCUUUCUGGCCCAUUCUUGACGCUGAGGCGCGAAAGCUAGGGGAGCGAACGGGAUUAGAUACCCUAGUAGUCC